UACGAAGGGGGCUAGCGUUGCUCGGAAUCACUGGGCGUAAAGGGUGCGUAGGCGGGUCUUUAAGUCAGGGGUGAAAUCCUGGAGCUCAACUCCAGAACUGCCUUUGAUACUGAGGAUCUUGAGUUCGGGAGAGGUGAGUGGAACUGCGAGUGUAGAGGUGAAAUUCGUAGAUAUUCGCAAGAAUACCAGUGGCGAAGGCGGCUCACUGGCCCGGUACUGACGCUGAGGUGCGAAAGCGUGGGGAGCAAACAGG
rnacentral:rRNA from 1 species